AUGCCUAGGAAUCUGCCUGGUAGUGGGGGACAACGUUUCGAAAGGAACGCUAAUACCGCAUACGUCCUACGGGAGAAAGCAGGGGACCUUCGGGCCUUGCGCUAUCAGAUGAGCCUAGGUCGGAUUAGCUAGUUGGUGAGGUAAUGGCUCACCAAGGCGACGAUCCGUAACUGGUCUGAGAGGAUGAUCAGUCACACUGGAACUGAGACACGGUCCAGACUCCUACGGGAGGCAGCAGUGGGGAAUAUUGGACAAUGGGCGAAAGCCUGAUCCAGCCAUGCCGCGUGUGUGAAGAAGGUCUUCGGAUUGUAAAGCACUUUAAGUUGGGAGGAAGGGUUGUAGAUUAAUACUCUGCAAUUUUGACGUUACCGACAGAAUAAGCACCGGCUAACUCUGUGCCAGCAGCCGCGGUAAUACAGAGGGUGCAAGCGUUAAUCGGAAUUACUGGGCGUAAAGCGCGCGUAGGUGGUUUGUUAAGUUGGAUGUGAAAUCCCCGGGCUCAACCUGGGAACUGCAUCCAAAACUGGCAAGCUAGAGUAUGGUAGAGGGUGGUGGAAUUUCCUGUGUAGCGGUGAAAUGCGUAGAUAUAGGAAGGAACACCAGUGGCGAAGGCGACCACCUGGACUGAUACUGACACUGAGGUGCGAAAGCGUGGGGAGCAAACA
rnacentral:rRNA from 1 species